UGGGGAAUAUUGCGCAAUGGGGGAAACCCUGACGCAGCAACGCCGCGUGAAGGAUGAAGGUUUUCGGAUUGUAAACUUCUUUGAUGAGGGACGAUAAUGACGGUACCUCAAAAACAAGCCACGGCUAACUACGUGCCAGCAGCCGCGGUAAUACGUAGGGGGCAAGCGUUAUCCGGAUUUACUGGGUGUAAAGGGAGCGUAGACGGCAAGACAAGCCAGAUGUGAAAGGCAGGGGCUCAACCCCUGGACUGCAUUUGGAACUGCCUGGCUAGAGUGUCGGAGAGGUAAGUGGAAUUCCUAGUGUAGCGGUGAAAUGCGUAGAUAUUAGGAGGAACACCAGUGGCGAAGGCGGCUUACUGGACGACAACUGACGUUGAGGCUCGAAAGCGUGGGGAGCAAACAGG
rnacentral:rRNA from 1 species